rnacentral:rRNA from 1 species
UACGGGGGGAGCAAACGUUGUUCGGAAUUACUGGGCGUAAAGGGCUCGUAGGUGGCCAACUAAGUCAGACGUGAAAUCCCUCGGCUUAACCGGGGAACUGCGUCUGAUACUGGAUGGCUUGAGUUCGGGAGAGGGAUGCGGAAUUCCAGGUGUAGCGGUGAAAUGCGUAGAUAUCUGGAGGAACACCGGUGGCGAAGGCGGCAUCCUGGACCGACACUGACGCUGAGGAGCGAAAGCCAGGGGAGCAAACGGG